rnacentral:rRNA from 1 species
GACGAACGCUGGCGGCGUGCUUAACACAUGCAAGUCGAACGGAAAGGCCCUGCUUUUGUGGGGUGCUCGAGUGGCGAACGGGUGAGUAACACGUGAGUAACCUGCCCUUGACUUUGGGAUAACUUCAGGAAACUGGGGCUAAUACCGGAUAGGAGCUCCUGCUGCAUGGUGGGGGUUGGAAAGUUUCGGCGGUUGGGGAUGGACUCGCGGCUUAUCAGCUUGUUGGUGGGGUAGUGGCUUACCAAGGCUUUGACGGGUAGCCGGCCUGAGAGGGUGACCGGCCACAUUGGGACUGAGGUACGGCCCAGACUCCUAAGGGAGGGAGCAGUGGGGAAUAUUGCACAAUGGGCGGAAGCCUGAUGCAGCAACGCCGCGUGCGGGAUGACGGCCUUCGGGUUGUAAACCGCUUUCGCCUGUGACGAAGCGUGAGUGACGGUAAUGGGUAAAGAAGCACCGGCUAACUACGUG